rnacentral:rRNA from 1 species
UACGUAGGUGGCUAGCGUUGUCCGGAAUCAUUGGGCGUAAAGAGCGUGUAGGCGGUCCGGUAAGUCCGCUGUGAAAGUCGGGGGCUCAACCCUCGAAUGCCGGUGGAUACUGUCGGGCUAGAGUGCGGAAGAGGCGAGUGGAAUUCCUGGUGUAGCGGUGAAAUGCGCAGAUAUCAGGAGGAACACCAAUUGCGAAGGCAGCUCGCUGGGACGUAACUGACGCUGAGACGCGAAAGCGUGGGGAGCAAACAGG